GACAACUAAGUGACUUUUAAGUGCUGUUUACUGCAAAACUUAACCCCUAUUAUUAUCCCCUUGUACCCCCUUGCAUUAAUCAUUCAUCUGCCGGUAUGGCUUGCUGAGUACUGUGGUCGUACUCAUUCUUGCUUAAUCUUUGAAGAAAUCUUUUCCUGGCUUAUACCCUAGUUGAGCGCCUGUGAAGAUGGAGCCAUAGGCCCGUUAGUCCGCUGCUGUUUAUUUUUGUUUGUUAGGCCUGAAGUGCCUUUGUAAUAAUGUAAAUAUUAUCGAUAUAAUAAAGAUGUGUCUUUUAUAUCAUGUUUAUGUGGUGUACCCCGGCUUUUCCUGUGACGGGGAUUAAUACACUAGCGUCCUGGAAAAGGUAUUUUUCCGGGCGCGACAAUGACGAGGUGGACGAAAACUAGUGCGUAGGCGCAGCGAGGCUGACGAGCGCCAUCCAAAGCCUACCGGCGGCUGUGGGAGGAACUUUGCCAUCCAUACCUAGCCUCGCCACAGCUUGCCCCUCUCCCCCAAGCUCCAUUGAUGGAUCCUUCACCCGCAGCCCGCACCAGAGCUCUCCCAGCGGUGGGCCGUGACCCGGCUGCCUUCGUCACCAGAUUCGGAUCCACCGCUCCAAGGCCCACCACCCGGAACUGCUGCCACCAGACCUGGGAGGGCGGGGGCACACUAUCGGUGAUCCUCACCCCAUGAUCCACGCCGAAGCUCUCCCGCCGUGACCCCAUCGCCGUCGUCAAUCCAAGGACCUGAGGUUGCUGGAUCCGUGCAAGGAUCUGAUGAGCUAAAAUCAAUGUGUAGAACAUUUACUCUAGUGGUAAGCUAAUUAUGAAACUCUUUAUUCUAGCGCCAUUGUUAUUAUUUAUCUAAACUCUUUAUUCAACGGUGGAUAUGUUUUUGAUGAUGUGGCACGUUCUUAUGUAAGAAAGCUUGUUGUUUUCACUAUGUAAGAUGUGUACAAGCACAACGCAUAGACUAAACUUACACAAGGUAGAAAAAUUCAAACUCUAGUACAAACGUACUGCAACUUUUAGUUUAUUUUGAUUUUUAGAACCUGCAUUAACUUACCAGCAUUUUUUUUAUAACGGAUCAACCAAUUGUUGUGUCGAAUCUUGGAAGUCCAAAGGUGUAUUAUUACAAAGGAAAAAGUCCAAAUACCCCCCUAAACUUUGGAUCAAAGUCUAUCUAGCAUCCUAAACUUUAAAACCGGACUUCUAACCCCUUGAACUUUGUAAAAUCGUUCAUACUACCCCGAAGGUGGUUUUGGAUAAAUAAAGCAACAAAUCUGCAACAUGAUAAAGCCAUCAUGCUGUCAUAGCUGCAGAGUGUCAACGUCCAUCCGACUCCACCAAUACUUACACCACCACUCCACUGAUCAUCGUUGUUGUCGCCGCCGCCGCCGCCGCUUUACCCAUCAUCAUGAUCUGAUCUUCUUCACGGUCAAUCAAUCGAUCUGCGAACAAGUGUCGCCGGCGGGUGCAUGCAUUAUUAUAUAGGGGAAAAAUCUGCGCAGUCUCACCUUGCCGUGCAAACAUAAUCUAAAUCGAUAUAUGAACGCAGCUUACACGGGACGGCAAAAAGAAUGGGGAGCGCACGAACGAUCUGGGUGUCGCUCGGAUUAUCGAACGGCGAAAACAUUUUUUUUCUUUUUAAGUAGUAGAGGAAUUCAUGUUUAGUAAAAAAAAAUGUUUGUAGCUUUUAAUAAAUUAGAAACUUUUGUUGGAGAGCUCUUAGAUUUUCAAUUUUUAUCAGAUUCGAUUGACAAAUUCUAGCGUGGCACCGACAAUUGUAUGUGAUAUAGUGUGACUGACGCCGGUGUGGCACUGUUUUGUUUUCACAUUUUGAGCUUUUGUGUCUCUAUAUAUUUUGUAUUUACUCUGGUUUUAGAGUCCUACUUAGAAUGUAGACCGUGUUGAAUUGUUGAUUUUUUUCCAAGGAAGUCUUGACUUUAUUUUUAACCAACGCUGUUUGUUUUCAUUCCAACGGCAGCGGGGUGACGCAGCAUGGCGACCGCGGUGGAAUCAGAGCACGACGACGGCGGUGGCUUGCAAGGUUACAGAUCUGUGUGCAAGCAAAGUCAUGCCAAUUGCACAGGACAACAGAAAAUAAUUUAUGUCAUCCUCUAUCUGGAAGAACCUUUUGUUGCCUAAAGAUACCCAGCUAGCAGCUAAUUGUAUAUUGCAAACAAAAGACCUCUCAACGUUCUGCUGCUGAAAUAUCAACGGAUCGUGACAGAGCAUAUACUAGUAACGUGUACAUUCUUUUUUGCUUUACAUACUUGUGGUGUUGAAAAUUGUUACAGAAAAUUGGCAUUGAUAUAUUGGUGAGAAAUUUGAAAAUCA